rnacentral:rRNA from 1 species
AACACGACUCUCGGCAACAGAUAUCUCUGCUCUCACCAUAAUGAAGAAUGUAGCGAAAAUGCGAUACUUAGUGUGAAUUGCAGAAUCCCAUGAAUCAUCAAGUCUUUGAAUGCAAGUUGCGCCCGAGGCUCCAGCCGAGGGCACAUCUGCUUGGGUGUCGCAC